rnacentral:tmRNA from 1 species
GGGGGUGAAAGGUUUCGACUUAGACGAGUUAGGUAUCAGUGGCAUGCCGCGGACGCAGGGAAGGCCGCGAUAACAAACCUUGCAAAAGUCAAAUGCUGAUAAAACAUCAGUAUUAACCUUCAACGGGUUGAUGAACACUAUGGAAGUAGUUCCUAGUGUUUCUCGCCCGAUGAUGGCGCCAGUCUUCGCUCACUAAUCUGAGCGAAGCCCCUUACCGUUUAGCCUAAGAAGCGGCGUAGGGCAAAUUAGAUAGGCUGGUUUCCCGCCCUGCCCCGGGGCAGGAAAUAAGAUUAGUCCAGGGGAUGAUCCUUAGAGAAUCACGGUUAUCGGAGGCCCUAAGGAUGACGCUUAAAAAGGUAACCUACGCAUUGUAGAGGCUGGUAUUUGACUGUUUGAGGACGCGAGUUCGAUUCUCGCCACCUCCACCA